GAUGAAGAACGCAGCGAAAUGCGAUAAGUAAUGUGAGUUGCAGAAUUCAGUGAAUCAUCGAAUCUUUGAACGCACAUUGCGCCCGCCAGUAUUCUGGCGGGCAUGCCUGUUCGAGCGUCAUUUCAACCAUCAAGCCCCAGGCUUGUGUUGGAGCCCUGCGGCUGCCGCAGCCUCCCAAAACCAGUGGCGGGCUCGCUAUCACACCGAGUGCAGUAGUUUACUCUUCGCUCAGGGCGUGUGGCGGGUGCUAGCCGUAAAACCCCCAACUUCUCAAGGUUGACCUCGGAUCCGGUAGGAAUACCCGCUGAACUUAAGCAUAUCAAUAAGCGGAGGA
rnacentral:misc_RNA from 1 species